AAGUCGUAACAAGGUUUCCGUAGGUGAACCUGGAAGGAUCAUUAACACGUAUCCAAACGUUAAAACCCCGCCCGUGAACCUUCAUCCUGCUCUUGUAACCCGCGUAGUUCGCAAUCUCUGAUAAAUCAUAGCCCGGAAAGACCGUACACUCGGGCAGGAGCUUUGCCAAAGCCCCCUAAUAACCCCACAGUUUAAUGUGAAGCUCAAUGUAAUACAUUGGGUAAAAAAACCGAACAACUGUUAACAAUGGAUAUCUUGGUUCUC
rnacentral:misc_RNA from 1 species